AGCUUUCCAAAUCUUGGCAUAGAUUUCGUCAGACACCAACCCAUUAAAGCUGAUCAGACUUCCAAGAUAAGUGAAGUA
rnacentral:pre_miRNA from 1 species